CACCUCUAGCAUUACUAGUAUUUAGAGGCACUGCCUGCCCAGUGACACACGUUUAACGGCCGCGGUACCCUGACCGUGCAAAGGUAGCAUAAUCACUUGUUCUUUAAAUGGGGACUCGCAUGAAAGGCACCACGAGGGUUUAACUGUCUCUUACUUUUAACCAGUGAAAUUGACCUGCCCGCGAAGAGGCGGACAUAGUAUAAUAAGACGAGAAGACCCUAUGGAGCUUUAAUCUAUUAAUGCAAUCAAAAAUUACACAAACCCACGGACCUUUAAACUAUCGACACCUGCAUUAAAAAUUUUGGUUGGGGCGACCUCGGAGCACAACAAAACCUCCGAAUAACACAUGCUAAGACCACACAAGUCAAAGCGAACUAACACUUAUAAUUGAUCCAAUAACUUGAUCAACGGAACAAGUUACCCUAGGGAUAACAGCGCAAUUCUAUUCUAGAGUCCAUAUCGACAAUAGAGCUUACGACCUCGAUGUUGGAUCAGGACAUCCUAAUGGUGCAGCAGCUAUCAAGGGUUCGUUUGUUCAACGAUUAAAGUCCU
rnacentral:rRNA from 1 species